CAGUCAUUUUGCAUUACAAACGGGAAAUUGCAGCCCCAACACCCGAAUCGGAUGUCAAUUUCCCGUUUGUAAUACAAAAUGACUGAAAAACGGCAAACUUCGCAAGGCCAUAUUAUCCGCAUUUUACAAGAUUUUGCAACAAAACUUUGGAAUAUUACUGAUUUUGUGAUGCUCUUUCAAGCUGUGAUGAAAUUUUUGUCUAGAUCGAAAUUUUAGUUAUAAGGGGAAAGGUCCAUUA